CCCCAUGCCGAGGGGCGCCGGUGGAAGCCGGCUGAGAUCGCUCUGGCCUCAAGCAGCAACAGGCUGCUUCGAGCCACCGGGCGAGCACCCUUUGAACCUGAUCCGGAUCAUGCCGGCGAAGGGACGGGAAAUGGACAAAUC
rnacentral:ncRNA from 2 species